rnacentral:tRNA from 1 species
GCCCGGGUGACGGAAUGGUAGACGUGGCGGACUUAAAAUCCGCUGUCCUGAAAGGGCGUGUGGGUUCGAUUCCCCCCCCGGGCA